rnacentral:lncRNA from 1 species
CACACGCACAUGUCCAUAAUUCCACUCAGAAGUCUGUGGUCUGACAGUGCCGCACAGUCUUCUUUGUUUACAGCUCUUGAGCGAGUGCCAGGACUCUUCACAGACUUCACGCUUACAGAUAAUUGACUAUUGAAUGCGAGGAGAGGCGGUGAUAUCCGAUCGCUCUAUACCUGUAACUGCCACAUGCAGACCGAGUCAUUCUGGUCUGGAACAACAAGCCGAGGCUGCCAUGAACUUUGGAUGAUUGCGAUCAGAGUUUUAGCCGGAUACCCGUCAUGAUACGCUUAGGUGCCAGGGCGCCACAGCCCCCAGUCUCUCCUGAGCCUCAGCGCCGUCCGAGUGCGGUGGGUGACCCCAGAAAGCGGUUCACUGGAGCUCGGAGGUCAGAGAAUCUGCGGCAGAUGGUUGUGCAGCUGGUGAGAGGCAAAGAGGAGAGACCUGGUGCCAAGAAGCUUAGUGGAAUCAACGACAAGACAAGGAGCUCCUCAAAGGUCCAAAGACGCGUGCAACGCAAUGGAUAUAAGCUAUAACCAUGGCAACGAAAAUAUCGCAGAGGUGAUCAUCGACCUGAAGAAAAGCGUCGCGAGUUCUCUGUUGUCGCGAGGGCGUGUGAGGGCGUCUGGGGUCAAGCGGCGAGAUAGGGGGCUUGUUGACGAGUCUCAUGAGGCACCUUGGCAGCAAGGACGUGAGCGCGUCGUGCUGAGUGAGCUGAGUACGAACACGCCAACACCAAUGACACUGCGUCAUUCUUCUCUACUGCCGCAUCCUCCUCGACUGCUGGGGUCUGAAGAUGAUGACCAUAAUGAAACACACCUUGCUAUGACAGCAGCAGCAGCAGCUCUACCUGACCUUGCUGCAACUGAGGAUUUUACAAAGUCUUUUGCAAAGAAAGGAGAAAGGCGGGCAAGAAAAGUAGUAACUGGACAGGAGAGAAGGAUCAGUUCAAUGAAGGGUCCGUCGCGCAUUGUGGUCAUUCAGCACAACAUAGAGAACGUCCCUACUGUAACAGAAAGAAGCCACAGACAGGAGCAGCCAUAUUUGACAAAACAGGCUUCCGCAGCUGGCAAACAUUAUUCCAGGAUGCUCAUCAGAACUCUUUCACCAUUCCAGCGAUCAGCCCGGACAAGGGUCUUCAAUACGUCCGUGCCAUCUGAUUCUGCACAAGAACCCAGCAAGCACCUGCGCACAUGUCAGGACCAAGAAGCCCAUGGGCCACACCCCGACAGGACAGUGAGGUUCCACACAGACGAUUACGCACACAACCAGUCGAUGGAUGCCAGCAGGGGCCGUUCACGUCCUGCUGCAGACGAGGGAAGAAGUGUGCGGGGAAGCGCCAUCCGUCGUCAAGGCAACCAGUCCAUAGCGACUCUGCCCAGCGCUCUGACUACCAGCGGCGCUCAGCUUCUAUAGAGAUGUACAAGCGGCGUCUGAGGAUGAACCACAACAAGUUUGUGAUGGACUGUCCGACUGAGGAUGAUUGUAUAAUCACCGCUGCUGGUCCAGCACCACCUCCUCAAGAAUCUCAAGCUCCUGCCAGGGUCGUCAGACAGCCCACGCCGUUCAAGUGCAGCAGGACCAGAAAGGCAAUGGAAACUUCGAUGGAAGACCGCGAUUGUAACAGCGGGUCUAGCGACAACUCGGAAACUAAUCCAACAAAAGACAUUUCUGCACCCCAGCGCCUCUGGUUUGCACCUACGUGUUGGAAGAAGACCUGAGCCAAGGACUUGACGGAGGAGGUGUCCAUCAACCAGUGGCGUUGACCCUUCACAACCUAAACUUGCACAACGCUUUGCAGCAGCGCCGACUGGAGCGAGAGAUACUGCGGCGGAGGCGAGCUCAGCGACAGGUAACAGCUGCUGGAGAGGCUGCAGUGGGCAAGGACGAUGUGGGCAAGGUGAUGCUGGACAGUUCGCCGGACACUGACGGCAGACUGAAACGCUGGCUGAUGGAGACCCAGCAAUACCGGGACUUAAAACACAUGGUAACUUUUAAGAUCGACCCUCAAACUCCUGUGCGAGUGUGAAGCUAAUCCCUGACCAGACCUAAGAUGUCGCGCCUGCGACUCUUGGAUUAAAUUAGUAUUUAAGAAAAUUUGCAGGCGCUGGGGUGGAUAUAUCGGCUUUGAAGGUUACGGUCAAGGUGUGUGUUUGCCUCUCGAGAAAGUGGAACUAAAGUUUAUUUUGCUGUGCUGUUCAUUGUUGAACAUGAUAUAGAAAAUUCUGUAUACGCUUCGUUUGUACUAUAGUUUUUAUUGUCCUUCAGUUCUUUUGCUGUAUUAUUUUUUAAUAACCGUGCCAUUCGAGUCUACCAAUGUAGAUCAAAUACCUCCACAGUUUUCCUGGGACAAGACCGGCCCUCACGAAAACACACACACACUUUCUCUCUCAUUAAAGUGACUGACAAAACAAAUUAAGAAGAAGACAGAAAGAAGGAAAGAUACCAUAGCGAGACGUAUAUACAUGCUGUUACGUUUUCUUGGUGAGUUUAAUGUGGUAUUAGUUUUAUGGCAGACAUAACAAUCUGGUUUGCGCUUCAAGUUAGAAAUGGAUGAUAUAAUUAUGUUUUCGGCAAGAAAUAAACAGUCCGGUUUCAGUUUAUCAGACAUCCGUUAUCUAGUUCUUUUCUACCAGAUAUGAUUUUCGUUUAGGACCAUAACCUGGUUUGAGCUUUCUACUAGAAACUGGUUUGUUUCCUAACAGACGUCCAUAAGCUGGUUCAAAGUUUCGUAACAGAAAACCAGAUGUAGAUACUCUGAUUUCUAGAACCAGUGGUGCAUAAUCAGUGGUCAGUGUGUAGUACCAGAAAUCUGGUUUGAAUUUCGUACCACAUGGCAUUUUACUUUCGAUUGGUUCUACAGAUGAUUAAUCUGGUUUCGAUUUUCAACCAGACAUGAUUUCGUUUCAAUUAGUUUCACAGAUGUCUGGUUUUUCGCUUAGGACCAUAAACUGUUUGAGUUUUGUACCAGAAACUGGUUUGUUUCAUAACAGAGAAAAUCUGGCUUAAUUUCGUAUCAGACAUCCAUAAUCUGAUUUAAAGUUUCGAAACAGCCAUCCAUAAGUUGGCUUUUAUUUCGUAUCAGAUGUGGAUACUCUGAUUUCUAGAACCAGUGAACCAUAAUCUGUGGUCAGUGUGUAGUACCAGAAGUCCGCAUGAUUUGAAAUUUCGUGCCAGAAAUGAAUUAUUUGAUUUUGAUUAUACGUUCCACAGAUGAUUCAAUCUGGUUUCAAUUUCCAACUACACCUGAUUAUUUAGCUUUCCACUGGUUUCACAGAUGUCUGACUUCUGUUUCUUACUGGAGCUUGUAUAAAUUUCUGUCAGUUUUACAGCAGAUAUACAUUUCGUAUCAGAGUCCAUGAUCUGGGGUUUGUGUUUCGGAUCAAACAUGGAUUCUGUGAUUUCACUUCAGUACCGCAGUCAUGCAUAGUGUGGUCAGUUAUGGCACCAGACAUACAUAAUUCGGUUUGAAUUUCGUACAAAACAUGAAUUAUUUGAUUUCGAUCAGUUGUGUCACAGAGAGGAUUCAUCUGGUUUCGAUUUCGAACAGCCAUGAAGACCUCGUGUUAGGUGUGCCACAGAUGUCUGGCUUCUGUACUACAGAUGCAAAGUCCACUUUCAGUUUCGCACCAGAUACACAUUUUCCAGGAAAGUGAACUGAGUAUGUGUUCAGCUUUUCGGCUCCAUGUAACAGCACACAUAAUAUCUGACUGGUGUUGUACUGUUAACCCGUGUGUCCCACAAGCCGAGUAAUUGUCAACUUUUCGCCUUUUCGAAGUGGCCAGGUAAGAAUACUAACAACAUUCUUGCUGAGUGCUUUCCAUAUCACAACGUGCAAGAGCGCACACUUUCGCUGGGCAAUACUCAAAAAAAAAAUCAUUAAGAUUUCUCCAGGGAGGGACAUAUCUGCAUUUUCGAUUUUUUUGUGGGGUUUUUUUUUCAAAAUUACAUCAGUUCAGAACAUUUUAAAACAUUCGCGACCCAUAUGGGAACAGUAGGGGAGGCUGGGAUAUCCGAAUGAACACACCAAAGUGCUGACUGUUACAUUCCCCCUAUCACUUACCAACUCCCUCUUCCACCAUGCUUUUUCUUUUUCCUGCACACUUCAUGUUCUUGCAAAGUUUCCCAUGAUCAUUUAUUUAUACAUUUUUAAUAAAUUUUUCACACGUUCUUGCAAUUUUUAUCAUUGGACUGUACUCAAAGCUUCCACUGUGAGGGAUGAUGUGUUGUACCAGCUGUUAUUAUUACUAUUUUGUCCAUGAAUAAACACAUUUCCUUGAUCUUUCAUGAUUAUACACAUGCACAAUGGUACACCUAUCCAUAAUUUAUUAUUACAAGUUUCUCUUCAACUUAAAUGUCACAGGCCUUGUACUUGAUAAGAUAUAAUAUAUGUUGCUUGUAUAUUUAUCCAUACAGAGACAUAUUGCAAAAACUCUUGAGAACUAUAAAAAUAAAUGCCUGGUGCUGGGAUCUUUGCUUAAUAAAAUAAACGAUGAAUA